rnacentral:rRNA from 1 species
GACGAACGCUGGCGGCGUGCUUAACACAUGCAAGUCGAACGGGAGGAAAAGAGAAGCUUGCUUCUUUUUGAAUCUAGUGGCAAACGGGGUGAGUAACACGUAAACAACCUGCCUUCAGGAUGGGGGACAACAGACGGAAACGACUGCUAAUACCGAAAUGUGUUCCGGAGACCGCAUGAUUUCCGGAAGAAAGGAUGGCCUCUAUUUAUAAGCUAUCGCCUGAAGAGGGGUUUNCGUCUGAUUAAGCAGUUGGUGAGGUAACGGCCCGACCAACCUACGAUCAGUAGCCGGUCUCGAGAGGAUGAACGGCCACACUGGAACUGAGACACGGUCCAGACUCCUACGGGAGGCAGCAGUGGGGGAAUCUUCCGGCCAAAUGGACGAAAGUCUGACGGAGCAACGCCGCGUGAACGAUGAAGGUCUUCGGAUUGUAAAGUUCUGUGAUCCGGGACGAAGGCAUUGAUUGAGAAUAUUGAUUGAUGUUGACGGU